UACGAAGGGGGCUAGCGUUGCUCGGAAUCACUGGGCGUAAAGGGCGCGUAGGCGGCCAUUCAAGUCGGGGGGUGAAAGCCCGAGGCUCAACCUCGGAACUGCCUUCGAUACUGCGGGUCUCGAGUCCGGGAGAGGUGAGUGGAAUUCCUAGUGUAGAGGUGAAAUUCGUAGAUAUUAGGAAGAACACCAGUGGCGAAGGCGGCUCACUGGCCCGGUACUGACGCUGAGGCGCGAAAGCGUGGGGAGCAAACAGG
rnacentral:rRNA from 1 species